UUGCAUCUGUUGACUGCCCGGUUGCUUCUCUUGUGAGCGAGUGGGUAUUAAUUUAUAGAUGCUAAAUGAACAGUCCCUGCGCUUUCUUCCUGUCCUGUCUGUGACUCAGGAGAUUGAAUUGGGGACAACAUGG